CACAUUUGCCGAGCUCAUCUGGAUUCCCACCAUGGCCUGGGCCCCUCUGCUCCUCGUGCUGCUCACUUACUGCACAGGGUCCAACUCACAGCCCACUCUGACUCAACCACCCUCAGUGUCAGUAUCUCCGGGAAACACUGUGAAACUCUCCUGCGCCGUCAGCAGUAACAUGAACACCAUAGCCUGGACCCAACAGAAACCUGGGCAAGCCCCUCGCUUUGUGCUGUACGGUACCACCAGCAGAGGCGAUGGAAUCCCAGAUCGGUUCACUGGUUCCACCUCUGGCAAUGUAGGUUACUUAACCAUCACCAAUGCCCAAGUAGAGGACGAAGCUGAUUAUUACUGUAGCAUGUGGUACAGCAGUGGUAGAGUAACUCACAGUGAUAGAGUCAGAUGA